rnacentral:rRNA from 1 species
GUGCCAGCAGCCGCGGUAAAACGUAGGAGGCGAGCGUUAUCCGGAUUUACUGGGCGUAAAGCGUACGCAGGUGGCUUUGUGAGUCGGACAUGAAAGCUCCCGGCUUAACUGGGAGAGGUUGUUCGAUACUGCGAGGCUUGAGGUUGGGAGAGGGACGUGGAAUUCCCGGUGUAGUGGUGGAAUGCGUAGAUAUCGGGAGGAACACCAGUGGCGCAAGCGGCGUCCUGGCCCACACCUGACGCUGAGGUACGAAAGCGUGGGUAGCAAACAGGAUUAGAUACCCCUGUAGUCC